rnacentral:rRNA from 1 species
UACAGGGGGCGCGAGCGUUGCUCGGAAUCACUGGGCGUAAAGCGUACGCAGGCGGACCGUUAAGUCGGGUGUGAAAGCCCGGGGCUCAACCCCGGAAUUGCAUUCGAUACUGGCGGCCUUGAGUGCGGGAGAGGUGAGUGGAAUUCCUGGUGUAGAGGUGAAAUUCGUAGAUAUCAGGAAGAACACCAGUGGCGAAGGCGGUGCUCUGGGCCGGAACUGACGCUGAGGAGCGAAAGCGUGGGGAGCAAACAGG